rnacentral:rRNA from 1 species
CGCAGAUACCAGGUGGCUGCAACUGUUUAUUAAAAACACAGCACUGUGCAAAAUCGUAAGAUGACGUAUACGGUGUGACGCCUGCCCGGUGCCGGAAGGUUAAUUGAUGGGGUUAGCGUAAGCGAAGCUCUUGAUCGAAGCCCCGGUAAACGGCGGCCGUAACUAUAACGGUCCUAAGGUAGCGAAAUUCCUUGUCGGGUAAGUUCCGACCUGCACGAAUGGCGUAAUGAUGGCCACGCUGUCUCCACCCGAGACUCAGUGAAAUUGAAAUCGCUGUGAAGAUGCAGUGUACCCGCGGCUAGACGGAAAGACCCCGUGAACCUUUACUACAGCUUGGCACUGAACAUUGAACCUACAUGUGUAGGAUAGGUGGGAGGCUUUGAAGACGUGACGCUAGUUGCGUUGGAGCCGUCCUUGAAAUACCACCCUUGUAUGUUUGAUGUUCUAACUUAGCCCCGUUAUCCGGGGUGAGGACAGUGCCUGGUGGGUAGUUUGACUGGGGCGGUCUCCUCCCAAAGAGUAACGGAGGAGCACGAAGGUGGGCUAAUCACGGUUGGACAUCGUGAGGUUAGUGCAAUGGCAUAAGCCCGCUUAACUGCGAGAAUGACGGUUCGAGCAGGUGCGAAAGCAGGUCAUAGUGAUCCGGUGGUUCUGUAUGGAAGGGCCAUCGCUCAACGGAUAAAAGGUACUCCGGGGAUAACAGGCUGAUACCGCCCAAGAGUUCAUAUCGACGGCGGUGUUUGGCACCUCGAUGUCGGCUCAUCACAUCCUGGGGCUGAAGUCGGUCCCAAGGGUAUGGCUGUUCGCCAUUUAAAGUGGUACGCGAGCUGGGUUUAGAACGUCGUGAGACAGUUCGGUCCCUAUCUGCCGUGGGCGUUGGAAGAUUGAAGGGGGCUGCUCCUAGUACGAGAGGACCGGAGUGGACGAACCUCUGGUGUUCGGGUUGUGUCGCCAGACGCAUUGCCCGGUAGCUAAGUUCGGAAUCGAUAACCGCUGAAAGCAUCUAAGCGGGAAGCGAGCCCUGAGAUGAGUCUUCCCUGAUACUUUAAGUAUCCUAAAGGGUUGUUCGAGACUAGAACGUUGAUAGGCAGGGUGUGUAAGCGUUGUGAGGCGUUGAGCUAACCUGUACUAAUUGCCCGUGAGGCUUAACCAU